GGGGAAUCUUCCGCAAUGGACGAAAGUCUGACGGAGCAACGCCGCGUGAGUGAUGACGGCCUUCGGGUUGUAAAGCUCUGUUAAUCGGGACGAAUGGUUCUUGUGCGAAUAGUGCGAGGAUUUGACGGUACCGGAAUAGAAAGCCACGGCUAACUACGUGCCAGCAGCCGCGGUAAUACGUAGGUGGCAAGCGUUGUCCGGAAUUAUUGGGCGUAAAGCGCGCGCAGGCGGAUUGGUCAGUCUGUCUUAAAAGUUCGGGGCUUAACCCCGUGAUGGGAUGGAGACUGCCAAUCUAUAGUAUCGGAGAGGAAAGUGGAAUUCCUAGUGUAGCGGUGAAAUGCGUAGAUAUUAGGAAGAACACCAGUGGCGAAGGCGACUUUCUGGACGAAAACUGACGCUGAGGCGCGAAAGCCAGGGGAGCGAACGGGAUUAGAUACCCCGGUAGUCCUGGCCGUAAACGAUGGGUACUAGGUGUAGGAGGUAUCGACCCCUUCUGUGCCGGAGUUAACGCAAUAAGUACCCCGCCUGGGGAGUACGACCGCAAGGUUG
rnacentral:rRNA from 1 species